GAGUUUGAUCCUGGCUCAGGACGAACGCUGGCGGCGUGCUUAACACAUGCAAGUCGAACGAAAAGACGGAAAGAGCUUGCUCUUUUCAGAAUUGAGUGGCAAACGGGUGAGUAACACGUAAACAACCUGCCUUCAGGAUGGGGACAACAGACGGAAACGACUGCUAAUACCGAAUAAGUUCCAAGAGCCGCAUGGCCCAUGGAAGAAAAGGUGGCCUCUACCUGUAAGCUAUCGCCUGAAGAGGGGUUUGCGUCUGAUUAGCUAGUUGGAGGGGUAACGGCCCACCAAGGCGACGAUCAGUAGCCGGUCUGAGAGGAUGAACGGCCACACUGGAACUGAGACACGGCCCAGACUCCUACGGGAGGCAGCAGUGGGGAAUAUUGCACAAUGGGGGAAACCCUGACGCAGCGACGCCGCGUGAAGGAAGAAGUAUCUCGGUAUGUAAACUUCUAUCAGCAGGGAAGAUAAUGACGGUACCUGACUAAGAAGCCCCGGCUAACUACGUGCCAGCCGCCGCGGUAAUUC
rnacentral:rRNA from 1 species